UGCCCCAUGGCUGAGUUGGUUACAGCGUCCGACUGUUAUGUUCUCCUGAAGGACCUUGACAUCGGAAGGUCGUGAGUUCGAGCCUCACUGGGGCAG
rfam:Ceriporiopsis subvermispora B unplaced genomic scaffold CERSTscaffold_4, whole genome shotgun sequence.